rnacentral:misc_RNA from 1 species
AACACUGUUAACCUGCGGUACCUGCGGAGGGAUCAUUACACAAUACAAUAUGAAGGCUGUCCGCAGCUGGAGUAUUUUAUUACCCUUGUCUUUUGCGCACUUGUUGUUUCCUGGGCGGGUUCGCUCGCCACCAGGACCACCAAAUAAACCUUUUUUAUGCAGUUGCAAUCAGCGUCAGUACAAACAAUGUAAAUCAUUUACAACUUUUAACAAUGGAUCU